CUCCUAAAUUAAAUGUCAAUUAUGCCAUUAAACCCCGACUCCGUUAUCUUUUCCACGUUGACUAUUACGCUGCACCAUUAAACCCCUUAUCUCUCUUUCUCUAACUCUCCUCCAUUGAAGUAGCUUCUGAGCUUUCUUUCCUCCAUUGAAGCAGCUUCUGAGGAAGGAACUAUGAAAAUGGACCUUUUCUCCCUGAGCCCGGGGCGGCUGCCGCUCUUGCCUUGGCUCAGGGACGGACCUGAUUGCUUGCUGUUGUUUAAUAUCAGAGGUAGCUCUGCUGUUAGAAUUGCAAAUAGAUUUCCGUAUUGUACGCGAACAAGUGGUGUGCAGGAUCUACCAUCUUCCAAGCGAAGGUCUCGUGGACCGGUCAUGGCAGCAAAGAAAGGGUCUGGCGGUACAGAACAAGAUGGAAAGUACAAAGACUCUGUUAAUUUGCCUAAGACGAAUUUUGGUAUGAGGGCCAAUUCCGUAGUGAGGGAGCCUGAAAUUCAGAAAUUAUGGGAAGACAAUCAAGUUUUCAAGCGAGUUGUAGAGAGAAAUGACGGGGGUCCUUUCAUUCUUCAUGAUGGUCCACCAUAUGCUAAUGGAGAUUUACACAUUGGGCAUGCUUUAAAUAAGAUUUUGAAGGAUAUAAUUAACAAAUACAAGCUUCUUCAAAAUCACGAGGUUCAUUAUAUUCCUGGUUGGGAUUGUCAUGGCCUUCCAAUUGAGUUAAAAGUUUUGCAGUCUAUGGAUCAAGAAUCCAGAAAGGAGCUCACUCCAUUAAAACUGAGAGCUAAGGCAGCAAAAUUUGCUAAAGAGACUGUUAAAAAUCAGAUGGCUUCAUUUAAACGCUAUGGAGUCUGGGCUUCUUGGGAGAAGCCUUAUAUGACUCUGGAUCCUGCUUAUGAAGCUGCCCAGAUUGAAGUUUUUGGCCAAAUGGCCCUUAAAGGGUAUAUUUAUAGGGGCAGAAAACCAGUUCACUGGAGUCCCUCAUCACGAACAGCUCUGGCAGAGGCUGAACUGGAAUACCCCGAGGGACAUGUUUCAAAGAGCAUAUAUGCCAGUUUUAAAGUGGUUGAACUGUCUUCAACUUCCUGUAGCUUAUUGGAGGAAUUCCUUCCAGACCUUUGUUUGGCUAUAUGGACCACAACUCCAUGGACUAUUCCAGCUAAUGCAGCUGUUGCGGUAAAUGCAAAACUCAGUUAUUCUGUUGUUGAAGUACUUUCACCUGAAGAAGUUGAUGGAGUGUCUCCUUCUAGUGGAAAGAAAAGGUUUGGUAGUAUUUUAGGAACAUUGAAAAAACCUAGUCUUAUAGUAGCCACAGAUCUUGUAGAAACCUUGGAAGCUAAAUGGGGAGUGAAACUCCUUGUCAAGAGAACAUUUUUGGGCUCAGAUAUAGAAAAUUGCAAAUAUUCACAUCCGAUUGAUAAACGAGAAUGCCCGGUGGUGGUAGGAGGUGACUAUAUCACAACUGAAUCGGGAACUGGACUUGUACACACAGCCCCUGGUCAUGGCCAGGAGGAUUACGUAACUGGCCUGAAAUAUAAAUUGCCUAUCUUAUCACCUGUGGAUGAUGAUGGAAAGUUCACAGCAGAAGCUGGACAAUUUUGUGGGCUAAAUGUACUGGGGGAUGGCAAUUUGGCUGUUGUUGAUUUCUUGGACGAAUGCUCAUCACUUAUUAUAGAAGAACCCUACAAGCACAAGUAUCCCUAUGAUUGGCGAACCAAAAAGCCUACUAUAUUCAGAGCCACUGAGCAGUGGUUUGCAUCAGUUGAAGGGUUCCGACAGGCAGCGAUGGAAGCAAUUAGCAGGGUGAAAUGGAUCCCAGCUCAGGCAGAAAAUAGGAUCUGCACUAUGACUGCAAGUCGCUCCGACUGGUGUAUUUCUAGGCAGAGGACAUGGGGUGUCCCAAUUCCUGUAUUCUAUCAUAGAGUGUCAAAGGAACCUUUAAUGAAUCAAGAGACUAUCAAUCAUAUUCAGUCUAUAAUAUCUGAGAAGGGAAGUGAUGCUUGGUGGUAUAUGACUGUAGAAGAAUUACUUCCUGAGAAAUAUCGUGAUAAAGCAUCGGAAUAUGAGAAGGGUUUUGAUACCAUGGAUGUUUGGUUUGACUCUGGCUCGUCUUGGGCUGCCAUUUUGCAGAAUAGAGAAGGUCUCAGCCUUCCAGCAGACUUGUAUUUUGAAGGAUCAGAUCAGCAUCGUGGGUGGUUUCAAAGUUCUUUGUUAACUAGUGUUGCUACUAGGGGAAUUGCUCCAUAUUCUGGUGUUAUAACUCAUGGAUUUGUACUGGAUGAAAAGGGUUUAAAGAUGAGCAAGUCCUUGGGUAAUGUUGUAGAUCCUCGAGUCGUAAUUGAUGGUGGUAAAAACCAAAAAGAUUCACCAGCCUAUGGAGCAGAUGUCCUCAGACUUUGGGUGUCUAGUGUAGAUUAUACAGGUGAUGUGUUGAUUGGAGCACAGAUUCUUCGUCAGAUGUCUGAUAUAUAUCGAAAGCUUCGUGGAACUCUGCGGUAUCUUUUGUCAAACCUGUACGAUUGGAAGGAAGAGAAUACUGUUUCUUACAAUGAUUUGCCAAUGAUUGAUCAACAUGCACUCUAUCAGUUGGAAAAUGUUGUCAAGAACAUUACUGAUAGCUAUGAAAAGUAUCAAUUUUUUAAAAUAUUUCAGAGUAUCCAAAGGUUUGUGAUUGUUGAUCUGUCAAAUUUCUAUCUUGACGUUGCUAAAGAUCGUCUGUAUAUUGGGGGAUUGACGAGCUUUACAAGAAGAAGUUGCCAAACUGUUCUGGCAGCACAUCUUCUUUCAAUUGUGAGGGUUAUUGCUCCAAUAUUGCCACAUUUGGCUGAGGAUGUCUGGCAGAACCUGCCAUUCCAGUUUGCUAAUGAUGAUGGCUCCACAGCAAAAUAUGUUUUUGAGUCAAGAUGGCCAGUGCUAAACGAGCAGUGGCUUGCUUUUCCUGAUGAUGAAGUACAGUUUUGGUCCAAAGUUCUUGAGUUGCGAACUGAGGUAAAUAAGGUACUGGAAUUUGCUCGAACUGAAAAGUUAAUUGGGUCCAGCUUAGAAGCAAAGGUUUAUAUUCACACCCCGGAUGCAAGCCUUGCCAAAAGAUUGAAUCAGAUGUGUGAAGCAGAGAACGACGCUGAUUCACUUAAUCGUCUUUUUAUUACCUCCCAGGCUGAGGUUAUUUCGUCUUUGGAGAAUAAUCCUAGUGAGAAAAUACCAUACACCGGGGAGUAUGUUAUUCAAGGAAGUGAUAAUAAGGUCUGGAUUGGUGUAUCAAGAGCAGAUGGCUCAAAAUGUGAAAGAUGUUGGAAUUACUCAACCCAAGUUGGUUCCUUCACUGAGCAUCCUACUCUUUGUCCUCGUUGCUAUAAUGUUGUCGACGUUCAGCCAAUCCCAGAACUAGCUGCUGUCAAUUGAAAUCUUGAAGAAGACUGCACGAUUUAUUUCAUGGUUAACCAGCAUUAAUUGGGUGCGUAUUGCCUCAAAUGAGUUUUUUGUAGCUGCAAAGUCUUGGUAGAAUAUUGUUGGUAAUUGAUUAACCUUUACUGUGGCUAGAAGGUUAUAGCUGGCUUCGUCAUACAGCAUCAGGUGUAGCAUUGGAAUAUCCCUCUUAAAUUUGGUGGUGUUGAGAAAAGGGCGACUGCAAGAGGGCAUUUGUUGAACUCGUAAGUGUAAAAGUUCAAACAUCCAGCAUCAGAGGCGGAUGCAUAUCUGCACAUGCUAUUUCUUUGUCCCUCAGCUGCAGCAGCUGAGUUCUGGCCUAUCAUGCCGCCUCGUCUUGGAGCAUGAGAUAUCUUCAGUUGUAAAAUUUCACUGACUACUGUUGCAGGUUUUUGGGUAGAGUCGUAGAGAAGUCAUGUGUAUAUUCCCAUUGGUCUAUAUGUGUAUUUAUUCUUUUGACAUUUUCUAUCGAAGAUGAACGGAUGAAAGAAGAGGAGGAAGAAGAUGAACUAGAGUGUAAAUUACAAAUAUAUCCCUCAAUUUAUACAAAAAUUUACGUGAAA